rnacentral:rRNA from 1 species
AACGCGAAGAACCUUACCAAGGCUUGACAUAUAGCGAAAAGUGGCAGAGAUGUCAUGUCCGCAAGGGCGCUAUACAGGUGGUGCAUGGUUGUCGUCAGCUCGUGUCGUGAGAUGUUGGGUUAAGUCCCGCAACGAGCGCAACCCUCGUUCUGUGUUACCAGCAUUAAGUUGGGGACUCACGGGAGACUGCCGGGGUCAACUCGGAGGAAGGUGGGGAUGACGUCAAAUCAUCAUGCCCCUUAUGUCUUGGGCUGCACGCAUGCUACAAUGGCCGGUACAAAGUGCUGCGAAAUCGUAAGAUUUAGCGAAUCACAUAAAGCCGGUCUCAGUUCGGAUUGAGGUCUGCAACUCGACCUCAUGAAGUCGGAGUUGCUAGUAAUCGUAGAUCAGCAACGCUACGGUGAAUACGUUCCCGGGUCUUGUACACACCG